rnacentral:rRNA from 1 species
AAAGGAAUUGACGGGGGCCCGCACAAGCGGUGGAGUAUGUGGUUUAAUUCGAUGCAACGCGAAGAACCUUACCAGGGCUUGACAUCCCGGGAACCCUGCGGAGACGUGGGGGUGCCCUUCGGGGAGCCCGGAGACAGGUGGUGCAUGGCUGUCGUCAGCUCGUGUCGUGAGAUGUUGGAUUAAGUUCCGCAACGAGCGCAACCCUCGUCGUAUGUUGCCAGCGGUUCGGCCGGGCACUCAUGCGAGACUGCCGCAGCAAUGUGGAGGAAGGUGGGGAUGACGUCAAGUCAGCAUGCCCCGUACGCCCUGGGCUACACACAUACUACAAUGCGAGGAGCAAACGGAUGCCAACCCGCGAGGGGGCGCCAAUCCGAAAAGGCCUCGCUCAGUGCGGAUCGCAGGCUGCAACUCGCCUGCGUGAAGGCGGAAUCGCUAGUAAUCGUCGGUCAGCAGUACGACGAUGAAUACGUUCCCGGGCCUUGUACACACCGCCCGU